GACAAACGCUGGCGGCGUGCUUAACACAUGCAAGUGGAGCGACGAACCAGACUUCGGUCUGGGGCAGAGCCGCGAACGGGUGAGUAACACGUGGGUAACCUGCCCUGAUGAUUGGCAUAACCCGAGGAAACUCGAGCUAAUACCAAAUGUGCCCUUCGACCAUCAGGUCGAUGUGUAAAGGUAGCUUCGGCUUCCGCAUCAGGAUGGCCCCGCGGCCCAUCAGCUUGUUGGUGAGGUAGCGGCUCACCAAGGCGACGAUGGGUAGCUGGUCUGAGAGGACUAUCAGCCACACUGGGGCUGAGACACGGCCCAGACUCCUACGGGAGGCAGCAGUGGGGAAUCUUGCGCAAUGCGCGAAAGCGUGACGCAGCAACGCCGCGUGGGGGAAGAAGGCCUUCGGGUUGUAAACCCCUUUCAGGGGGGACGAAGCCAUGGCGGUUAAUAGCCGUUCAUGGUGACGGUACCUUCAGAAGAAGCCCCGGCUAACUACGUGCCAGCCGCCGCAGUAAUAC
rnacentral:rRNA from 1 species